UACGUAGGAGGCAAGCGUUGUCCGGAAUCACUGGGCGUAAAGCGCGUGUAGGCGGAUCGCUAAGUCUGUGGUGAAAGCGCCUGGCUUAACCGGGCGAGGUCCAUGGAAACUAGCGGUCUGGAGGCCGGUAGAGGGGGUGGAAUUCCGGGUGUAGUGGUGAAAUGCGUAGAGAUCCGGAGGAACACCAGUGGCGAAGGCGGCUUCCUGGACCGACACUGACGCUGAGGCGCGAAAGCUAGGGGAGCAAACGGG
rnacentral:rRNA from 1 species